rnacentral:lncRNA from 13 species
CUCUACUAUAAUCUUACAGGGUGACAGUCAUAUAUGUAGUCCAAUGUUGACUAAAACGUUACUAUGCAGGGUAUGAUGGCAUUGUUAACAUAGGGAAAAAAAGACACACACACACACACACACACACACACACACACGUCUUCAUGACCAGUCAAAACAGUAGAAUCAGGGGAAAUACAGCUUUUCUUUCCCCUUCCAGACCUGAAAUGAGUACAUCUUUUUAGCUGAACCUAGAUCAGCUACAGCACCCUAACUGCAAGGAAGCCUAGAAAAUAAUAUUUUUUGUUUUUUCACCCUCUGCAGUUCAAGAAGGAACAAUAGAGUGAAGUGGAAGUUGAAUACCAGGCUACCUUUAAUUUACUUAUGGUAUGAGUUUGGAAGUUCUCACUCCAAUCCCCACAACAAGAAAAAACUUUCACAAUGGAUUAACAACAAUUCUCCAUAAGUAGUCUGGAAACUAGAAGGUCUACUGCAUGUCAAGAGAUGAAAAGACAGAAAGAGCACGCUUGGUUUGGAAAGACAGAACAACAGCAAGGUCUUCCUGAAGACGCA